AGACAUCCUGAGUCGAGAGUUGUGGGAUACGGACUUUUCCUUUCUCUGCUGUUCAUUCUCCUGUGACCUUGAGGAAAUCACUUCAUUCUGGUCCUCUGCCUGCUCACUUAGGUGGUCGGCUUAUAAUCAGUUGCUGUGGAUCUUCAGAACACUGAGAAAUAGAAAGAAAUAUGUUAUGUGAGUAGAUGGAGAAGAGAAAAUGACAAAACAAAGGAAGAAAAAGAAAGUUGUAUCUCUGUGCUUACCGAGUCCUUAUAGUAGAGGACAGCUUGGCUUAUACCAAGUUUCACUGACACAGUAAAGCAGGCAAAAGGAGCCAGCCUGGCACCAAACCAACCAUUCCCUCAGCUUCUCGCUUAUUCAAGAUGCUGCUCCUCAGGGUACCGGGACAGAGGGAAUGAUGUACGGUGGCAGCUCAUGGCCCUUGUCCUGAUGCUGCCAGGCUCCUCCCCAUGUGACACCCUUGUGACCAGAGUCAGCAUGCUCAUGGCAUUCCCUUGGACUCAGCCUAUUUUUCCCACCUCUGGGAUUGCAGCAUAAAUAUUUGGCAUUGGAAAGACUGGCAGCUUCAAGACAGAUCGGGAGGAUGUCCCAGAUGAGCACUGAACCAACAGUGCCAACAUGAGAGGAAAAAACCAUGCGAGCCCAGGGAGAUUUCUUCAC
rnacentral:lncRNA from 1 species